rnacentral:rRNA from 1 species
UACAGAGGUCUCAAGCGUUGUUCGGAUUCAUUGGGCGUAAAGGGUGCGUAGGUGGCGCGCUAAGUCAGGUGUGAAAUUUCGGAGCUUAACUCCGAAACUGCAUUUGAUACUGGCGUGCUUGAGGACUGGAGAGGAGACUGGAAUUCACGGUGUAGCAGUGAAAUGCGUAGAGAUCGUGAGGAAGACCAGUGGCGAAGGCGGGUCUCUGGACAGUUCCUGACACUGAGGCACGAAAGCGUGGGUAGCAAACAGG